rnacentral:rRNA from 1 species
CGACUGGGGAACCUGCCCUGUACAGGGGGGAUAACAGCUGGAAACAGCUGCUAAUACCGCAUAAUGCAGUUGGGUCGCAUGGCUCUGACUGCCAAAAGAUUUAUCGCUCUGGGAUGGACUCGCGUCUGAUUAGCUAGUUGGUGGGGCAACGGCCCACCAAGGCGACGAUCAGUAGCCGGACUGAGAGGUUGGCCGGCCACAUUGGGACUGAGACACGGCCCAGACUCCUACGGAAGGCAGCAG